rnacentral:rRNA from 1 species
AUUGAACGCUGGCGGCAGGCCUAACACAUGCAAGUCGAGCGGAUGACGGGAGCUUGCUCCUAGAUUCAGCGGCGGACGGGUGAGUAAUGCCUAGGAAUCUGCCUGGUAGUGGGGGUCAACGUUUCGAAAGGAACGCUAAUACCGCAUACGUCCUACGGGAGAAAGCAGGGGACCUUCAGGCCUUGCGCUAGCAGAUGAGCCUAGGUCGGAUUAGCUAGUUGGUGGGGGAAUGGCUCACAAAGGCGACGAUCCGUAACUGGUCUGAGAGGAUGAUCAGUCACACUGGAACUGAGACACGGUCCAGACUCCGACGGGAGGCAGCAGUGGGGAAUAUUGGACAAUGGGCGAAAGCCUGAUCCAGCCAUGCCGCGUGUGUGAAGAAGGUCUUCGGAUUGUAAAGCACUUUAAGUUGGGAGGAAGGGCAGUAAGUUAAUACCUUGUUGUUUUGACGUUACCGACAGAAUAAGCACCGGCUAACUCUGUGCCAGCAGCCGCAGUAAUAC